UUUACCAGACCCGGAAGGCGCGGGCCUUAGUGGCGGACGGGUGAGUAACGCGUGGGGAACCUGCCCCGUACCGGGGGAUAACACCUGGAAACAGGUGCUAAUACCGCAUAACAGAAGGGGACGCAUGUUCCUUUCUUGAAAACUCCGGUGGUACGGGAUGGACCCGCGUCUGAUUAGCUGGUUGGCGGGGUAACGGCCCACCAAGGCGACGAUCAGUAGCCGGCCUGAGAGGGCGGACGGCCACAUUGGGACUGAGACACGGCCCAAACUCCUACGGGAGGCAGCAG
rnacentral:rRNA from 1 species